AGUGAACGCUGGCGGUAGGCCUAACACAUGCAAGUCGAACGGCAGCACAGUAAGAGCUUGCUCUUACGGGUGGCGAGUGGCGGACGGGUGAGGAAUACAUCGGAAUCUACUUUUUCGUGGGGGAUAACGUAGGGAAACUUACGCUAAUACCGCAUACGACCUACGGGUGAAAGCAGGGGAUCUUCGGACCUUGCGCGAUUGAAUGAGCCGAUGUCGGAUUAGCUAGUUGGCGGGGUAAAGGCCCACCACGGCGACGAUCCGUAGCGGGUCUGAGAGGAUGGUCAGCCAGCCUGGAAGUGAGACACGGUACAGACUCCUGCGGGAGGAAGCGGUCGGGAAUAUUGGGCGAUGGGCGCGAGCCUGAUCCAGCCAUACCGCGUGAGUGAAGAAGGCCUUCGGGUGGUAGAGCCCUGUUGUUGGGAAAGAAAAGCAGCAGGUUAAUACCCCGCUGUACUGACGGUACCCGAAGAAUAAGCACCGGCUAACUUCGUG
rnacentral:rRNA from 1 species